ACUCAAAUGAAUAGACGGGGACCCGCACAAGCGGUGGAACAUGUGGUUUAAUUCGAGGCAACGCGAAGAACCUUACCAGGCCUUGACAUGCCCUCUAUGGAAAUCAGAGAUGAUUUCCUUCACUUCGGGUGGGAGGAGCACAGGUGCUGCAUGGCUGUCGUCAGCUCGUGUCGUGAGAUGUUGGGUUAAGUCCCGCAACGAGCGCAACCCUCAUCCUCUGUUGCUAACAGGUUAUGCUGAGCACUCUGAGGAAACUGCCGGUGAUAAGCCGGAGGAAGGUGGGGAUGACGUCAAGUCCUCAUGGCCCUUACGGCCUGGGCUACACACGUGUUACAAUGGUGGUGACAACGGGCAGCUAACUCGCGAGAGCACGCUAAUCCCAAAAAGCCACCUCAGUUCAGAUUGUACUCUGCAACUCGAGUACAUGAAGCUGGAAUCGCUAGUAAUCGUGGAUCAGCACGCCACGGUGAAUACGUUCCCGGGUCUUGCACACACCGCCCGU
rnacentral:rRNA from 1 species